rnacentral:rRNA from 1 species
CCUACGGGUGGCAGCAGUGAGGAAUAUUGGUCAAUGGUAGAGAUCCUGAACCAGCCAAGCCGCGUGCGGGAAGAUGGCCCUAUGGGUUGUAAACCUCUUUUGUCGGAGGACAAAACGCGUGACGUGUCCCGUUCUGCGGGUAUCCCAAGAAAAAGCAUCGGCUAAUUCCGUGCCAGCAGCCGCGGUAAUACGGAGGGUGCGGGCGUUAUCCGGAUUUAUUGGGUUUAAAGGGUGCGUAGGCGGUUCGUUAAGUGAGCCGUUAAAUGCCGUGGCUCAACCCCGGCCGUGCGGCGGAAACUGGCUGGCUUGAGUUGGCGGAACGUAUGCGGAAUGCGUGGUGUAGCGGUGAAAUGCAUAGAUAUCGCGAAGAACUCCGAUUGCGAAGGCAGCAUACGGCAGCGCUACUGACGCUGAGGCACGAAGGCGCGGGGAUCGAACAGGAUUAGAUACCCUUGUAGUC